rnacentral:rRNA from 1 species
AUACGUAGGGGGCGAGCGUUGUCCGGAAUGAUUGGGCGUAAAGGGCGCGUAGGCGGCCCGGUAAGUCUGGAGUGAAAGUCCUGUUUUUAAGAUGGGAAUUGCUUUGGAUACUGUCGGGCUUGAGUGCAGGAGAGGUAAGUGGAAUUCCCAGUGUAGCGGUGAAAUGCGUAGAGAUUGGGAGGAACACCAGUGGCGAAGGCGACUUACUGGACUGUAACUGACGCUGAGGCGCGAAAGUGUGGGGAGCAAACAGGAUCAGAUACCCUGGUAGUCCACACUGUAAACGAUGAAUGCUAGGUGUAGGGGGUAUCGACCCCUUCUGUGCCGCAGUCAACACAAUAAGCAUUCCGCCUGGGGAGUACGGCCGCAAGGUUGAAACUCAAAUGAAUUGACGGGG